AUAUGAUGUACAAAAAUAACGAGAGAGAAAAUUGUAGAGAUUGAAAUAAAAUUGUG
rnacentral:guide_RNA from 1 species